AAUGUACAACCGGGUAAUUAUUGCUUUAAUUAACAUUUGAAAAGGUAUAUAAAGACUUCAUAUCAUAGUAAACAUAACGUAUUCUUAUUCUUCAUCGAGUAGAAACAUGUCCAAAUAUCUAAAGAUUACCACCAUUUUUGCAUUAUAUGCGUAUUGUAUGUUUUUGAUGGCAUACGGAGAAGAAAAGAAAGGACUUGAUAUACAAUAUUAAUAGAUGUGAACUAAUUUCUUGAAAUGUGAAAAUAAAAGAAAUGUAUUUGCUAUUUCACAAAUAAAGCACUUGAUAAAACUA